GAGCUAAAAGCCAAAAUAUAUGGUAUUUAACUGUUAAUUAAACCUAUGUGAACCAAUUCACUUAGCUCA
rnacentral:tRNA from 1 species